UACGUAGGGGGCAAGCGUUGUCCGGAAUUAUUGGGCGUAAAGAGCUUGUAGGCGGUUUGUCGCGUCUGCUGUGAAAAUCCGGGGCUCAACCCCGGACUUGCAGUGGGUACGGGCAGACUGGAGUGUGGUAGGGGAGACUGGAAUUCCUGGUGUAGCGGUGGAAUGCGCAGAUACCAGGAGGAACACCGAUGGCGAAGGCAGGUCUCUGGGCCACUACUGACGCUGAGAAGCGAAAGCAUGGGGAGCGAACAGG
rnacentral:rRNA from 1 species